UACGAAGGGGGCUAGCGUUGCUCGGAAUCACUGGGCGUAAAGCGCACGUAGGCGGAUCUUUAAGUCAGGGGUGAAAUCCUGGAGCUCAACUCCAGAACUGCCUUUGAUACUGAAGAUCUUGAGUUCGGGAGAGGUGAGUGGAACUGCGAGUGUAGAGGUGAAAUUCGUAGAUAUUCGCAAGAACACCAGUGGCGAAGGCGGCUCACUGGCCCGAUACUGACGCUGAGGCACGAAAGCGUGGGGAGCAAACAGGG
rnacentral:rRNA from 1 species